GGCUCAGGAUGAACGCUGGCGGCGUGCUUAACACAUGCAAGUCGAACGGACCGCAAGGUCAGUGGCGGACGGGUGCGUAACACGUGGGUGACCUGCCCUGGAGUGGGGAAUAAUUCCGCGAAAGCGGGACUAAUACCGCAUAGGCUCAAUGAUUCGGUUCAUUGAGUAAAGCCGUAAGGCGCUUUGGGAUGGACCUGCGGCGGAUUAGCUAGUUGGUGAGGUAACGGCUCACCAAGGCGAUGAUCCGUAGGGGGCGUGAGAGCGUGGCCCCCCACAUUGGCACUGAGACACGGGCCAAACUCCUACGGGAGGCAGCAGUGAGGAAUAUUGCGCAAUGGGCGAAAGCCUGACGCAGCAACGCCGCGUGAGGGACGAAGGCCUUCGGGUCGUAAACCUCUUUUCUGAGGGACGAGACAAAGGACGGUACCUCAGGAAUCAGUCUCGGCUAACUACGUGCCAGCAGCCGCGGUAAAACGUAGGAGGCGAGCGUUAUCCGGAUUUACUGGGCGUAAAGCGCACGCAGGCGGGUCUGCAAGUCGGUUGUAAAUGCUCCUGGCUUAACUGGGAGAGGCCAAUCGAAACUGCAGGGCUUGAGGUUGGGAGAGGGGUGCGGAAUUCCCGGUGUAGCGGUGGAAUGCGUAGAUAUCGGGAGGAACACCAGUGGCGAAGGCGGCACCCUGGCCCACACCUGACGCUGAGGUGCGAAAGCGUGGGGAGUAAACAGGAUUAGAUACCCUGGUAAUCCACGCUGUAAACGAUGUCAACUAGGUGUCGGUAGUGUUACACCAUCGGUGCCGAAGC
rnacentral:rRNA from 1 species